CCAGACUCCUACGGGAGGCAGCAGUGGGGAAUCUUCCGCAAUGGGCGAAAGCCUGACGGAGCAACGCCGCGUGAGUGAAGACGGCCUUCGGGUUGUAAAGCUCUGUUAUAGGGGACGAACGGCCGGGUAGCGAAGAGGUACCCGGCAUGACGGUACCGUAAGAGAAAGCCACGGCUAACUACGUGCCAGCAGCCGCGGUAAUACGUAGGUGGCAAGCGUUGUCCGGAAUGAUUGGGCGUAAAGGGCGCGCAGGCGGCUGUGUAAGUCUGUCCAGAAAGUGCGGGGCUAAACCCCGUGAGAGGAUGGAAACUGGACAGCUGAGAGUGUCGGAGAGGAAAGCGGAAUUCCUAGUGUAGCGGUGAAAUGCGUAGAUAUUAGGAGGAACACCGGUGGCGAAAGCGGCUUUCUGGACGACAACUGACGCUGAGGCGCGAAAGCCAGGGGAGCAAACGGGAUUAGAUACCCCGGUAGUCCUGGCCGUAAACGAUGGGUACUAGGUGUUAGACCC
rnacentral:rRNA from 1 species